ensembl:lncRNA
CACGUUUUCUUCCUCGGGCAAUGCCUGAAAAAAAGUGGUUAAUUUCUAUCUGUUUGCUCCUUUUGAAUCUGAUCUUGUAUUACAGAGCUGAGCAGAGCGAUUUACAGGCUGUCGGGUUGGCUUUGUUCCCGUGUAAGUCAAGUCUCGAUGGAGAAGAGACGCAUCAGUGCUCCAAAUGGCCCCAGCCGUCUCAUUGCAUUAUCUUCAAAUGGCACGUCUGAUGGAGAAGUUAGAGAACAGCUCUCCUUGCUUCUUUCAUUUAGAUUUGCCUCCCUUAUUAACAUGUAACGCACCUAGAUUGUCCUGUGUAUCUUUGUGUUAACCAAAAUUUAACAUGUAUACUUAAGUACAAGACCCUG